rnacentral:sRNA from 1 species
CAAAGUAUUAAUUUCUUUUUUAUCUUCGUCAAAAUGUAUUUUCAAUGUUAAUUGAUGCCUUGGGCGACAUUUUCCAGCUGACAACGUGUCAAGUUAAUCCAAUUGGGAACCCUUUGACGGCAGCCGAGAUUGAUGAAGUCUGUGAUAUCGUCUGUGGUUCCCCUGGUUGGCUGAUGGCUCAAACACAGCUGUAACAAGGCGUCACAGGUAUUGGACUUGGGUUGCGAUUGAACUUGCAACAGGCACAAACAGCAGAUGGCUACGAUGAUAGAGGGAUAUAUGCUCAGAAUGAUCUCUGAUGGAUUAAAGUAGCCAGCUUACCCAACAACAGCACUAAUUUCGACAUGUUUGUUUAGCGAACGCACUUGAGUGAUACUCUAGCUAGCUUUGCUAAAGUACCAGCUAUAUAUAGUCGAAAGCAAAGUUAAGAAAGUGAUUUUUCGCAAUUGUUAUCGACCAGAUGUUUACUUUGUACAAUAAUGAGAUAUAUGGAAUAAUAAUGAGUUAAAAAUAGAACUACCUUUUGUAAAAGUUCAAUGUAACACUUUCGCACAUCUGUUUCUGAUUGACUAUUGAUGGGGUGUUUAUCGCCUAUAUAAGCUCGAUUUGAACUCAAGUUGGAUAUCAGUUAUCGACUGUUGACCGCAAAAUGCAUAUUAAGAGCAUUCUCGUCCUUCUCCUGGUGGUCUGCUGCGUGUGCAUCAGUGCCAAUAGGCCUGAUUGUCAGAGCAUCAAUAGGGCUUGUCUGAGAUGUCCAAAUAAAAUCCCCAGAGCAAUUACUUUCAAUGACUUGUGCCGUAACAAGACAAUAACUACCUGGUUCUGGAGGAAUCUAUCACAUUGCGAUAUUCAGCUUAUCUCGUGUCAGAAUCCUGCACAUAAGCUGGAUUGUAACCAAGUUGCCCAGUUUGCUCAAAUGAUACCUAGACCACGUGGCUGAUUAUGUUUUUAAAUUUCAGGAUUUAGGGUCAUCGCCUUAAAUUCGAAGAGAAUUAUGUAACGAGA